GCCGUCUUCUUUACAACUGGAUCUAACUGGAUUUAAUACACUUUUCAGACAGAGCACCACAGAAAUACAUAUCAGGUGCAGAUUACAAGCUGAGGUAUCCUGGCUUGAGGAAGCACGCGUGUCACGUGAAACAGUCUGUCCCGCACAUACCCCCCCACCCCACUCCUGUCUUCACUGUCUCUGCCUCUGGAUGUCUGUCAAGCACCAACUGCCGCAUUAAAGUCUCCACUGUUGUAUGAUUUAAUUAGGAGGAUUUAAUUAGACUUGGCAGAAUAACACAGAGAGAUGAAGGGAAGGGUGGUCCGCAGCUGAGGAUUUAGGAUGCAGGGAAGCACUCUGCCAGCAAAUGGAAUCCAGUAGAGUCCAACAGAGGCCAAACAGGAUAAGAAAGAAAAGAUAACUGCAGGGGUUGGUCACAGGUCCUCUUGAAGAUUGCCUCGGACAUUUUUCCCUGGAUACCAUCAUUAAACUAACGUGAAGGACUCAUUGGUAGAGGACCCUCCUCCCAAUACCCCUACAAGAAACAAACCAGGAGGGGUGGGCGGAGAAGACACAGGAGCCGCAAAAACCAUAAGCCAUAAGCAAGGCAAGAUACAGUUUGCACGACCACAGAAAAAGAAAGCAUGAACUCUGAAUCUAAUACCGUGAUCUUGCUACAAGGAACUGUACGGAAUUUAUGUGAAGGAAGAUGCCACUUGCUCUGUUUCAUCUAUGUUAUUGUAAUUUUCUUAAAUAAUAAGUUGAUAAUAUGGGAAUGAGUAGCUGCAAUUAUAACUCUGCAUGGGUCACACUAUGAUAGGAAAAUAAAGUAAUGAAUAUAUCACUUAAU